UUGAGGCACUUGAGAAUUUCUCGUACAUCAUAUGGGAUAUUGUCUUCAGCUUCAUUCGCAUCAUGCUCGAGCAAGUGUAUCAAAAUAUUCUUUCUCAACUCAUAACCAUCCUACAUGAGCAAUGCAUGAUGUUAGGAUGCAAUUUUGCUUCAAACUUUUUAUGAACGUGUGAUAUAGAACACUCACCGUGCAAAUUGGACGAACAAAUUUGUUACCAUGCCAGAGCAUAUAAUUGAAAACAAAAUAACCAGAUUCAUUCCUGUAGAUGAAUACACUAUCAUUAUCUUCGGAGGUUAUGACAAUAAAUCUAAAACAUGCAUAGUGAUUUUCAGAGUAACUGACCGGUCUAGGCUCAUCGGAACAUCAAUUGGUGAUUUACGUGGCCAGGCAAAUGUAUCAGACUUCCAACCCGGUUGUGCUAAUUCGAGUGCAUCAUUCAGGUAGAAUGCAACCCUCUGAAAUUUUAACGCAUAUCUCUCUGGGGAUAAGGGCGGAAAUAGUGGGUCCAAAAUAGUUACUUGACGUGAAUGUUUGUCGAUUGCGAACAAGAUGUAGUGGCCGAGGAAUGCAUGAGGGAGCAAUAUCUGCAAGCAACACUCAUUCAGAACAAACAUUAAUCACGACAACCAUAUAAAAUAGACCAAACUUACCCAAUUGCAUGAUGAUAUGUUGUCUAUCUCAGUCGAGCUACGGAGCAACGAUGCUAGCGCCUGAAUAUCUGGCUGUACCCGCGAAUCUAAAUCUCGUGCGGAAGCGAGGGCGGCCUCGAUCACGGACGUCUAGGUAAAAAAUG
rnacentral:lncRNA from 1 species